AAAUUAAGAUUUUAGUUGAAAAAUCUGCAAACUUUAAGAGAAUUUUCAAACUUGUACACUAAGGCCUUGUUUGAUUAACAUAAUUAAUAGUAAAAUGAUUAAUAAUCCCAUGAAAUAAUGUAGGAUUAGUUAUUCAAUUAAAUUAGUGAGAUAACUAUUCAUUUUAUUUUUUUUCUUUUAUAUUUGAAAUUAUGAUUCUCAGCCCCUUUCAAUAUUAAAAAUUUACCAAUUUCGUUAGAUUAAAUGUCCGCCGUAUAUGUAAUUCAAUUAAUAAAAUUUGCAAUCAAACAUGGUAUCGUGAGUCCAUGGACUAAUAAUCUCAAUCCUAUACUAAUCAAACAUGUCCUAAAUGCAAAAUAGGAAAAAUAAAGUCAGGCACAAUUGUUAAAAACCAUAUAGAAUUUUAAUCUAAUUCAAAGUUGGAAAAAUAAAAUUUGAGAUCGAUUUCAUAUCAUUUUGUAUUACAGUUUUCUAUUUUGAAUUGAAUAAAGAUUAAAUGAGAAUUAUUUCAGUAUACUAGAAAUAAUCAGUAGAACACUACUAGUCGCAAACAAAAUUUACCAGCAGGUUUACUUCAAAUGAUUAUCAUCAAAUGAUUACUGAAAAUGAAAAGUAAUUUUCCUAGGCUUACAUGCAAAAUCUCUAUAGUUCAAAUAUCUACCAUGUCCACUACUAGCUCACACACCAAUUCUACCUUUAUCAUCAGUCUUAUAAGAAGAUAGAAUAUUUUGUUAAUUGUCCGUAGCUAUAAGCUUCCAUUAAAUAAAAGGAACAAGUCUUUUAUGUACUGAAUGUUGAAGAUUUUAUGAAGAAUUAAGUGAAUGAAUAAUAAAAUGCCAUCGAGCAUUUCAUGCAUUAUAUGAAGAUUUUAUGUACAGCUUUAUGGAUAACUUGAAUUACUAGAAAUUCUUGUAAGGUGAAUGCCCAUCUACACAUUGCACACACAUCACAAACCCUUACUUGAGUGUUGAGUGUCCGAGAAAGGUACUUCACACAUUCAGAAGAAUCCAUGUUAGAUUACUGACCCGUUUCCUUACGUACACAAGGGCAGGUCAGUCUUCACCCUAGCUAGGGCUAGUCCGCACUCUCGUUACAGUGAUCUAGGUAGUUGAACUGACCUAUGUCCCAUUCUUGUCUUGACAAAUUCUAUCCCUUUCACAUCUUUUCUUAAAAAAUUCUAUUUUUCUCACAUUUGAUUCCCCUUACGUAUUUUAGUUGAAAUGAUCACACUUAUGAAUGGUAAUGUUGACACUCUUUAAGGUGUCAGAAAAGAAACUAAGUUUUACUGCUCAACAAUUUCAACAUGUAGGUAAACUUUUACCCUGAUCCUAGUCACUAAUUUCCUUAUGUCCAUAUUGUUGGCAUAUUUUUAAGAUGUACUGGUUUUGUGGUUUAUUGUAUUUCUUCAACAACUAAAUAAUAUUUUGUGUGCAGAGGUUCUCGCCCUGAUCCCAUAUGGAUAACCUGAUGAACAUUUACAUGACCAUGGAAGUUGCUUCAGGGGUUAAUAAUUUGUCACUCAAACUGUAACUUCAACCAAACUGUGCCUUCAACCAAAUUCUCGGUUGUCUGUUCUGUUCUUUUCAGAACAUGUAAAGAAACAAGUUCAAAUAUUAUUAGAAUUGUGCAGAUACAGACGAAGAUUUAGCAUGUUUGGCAUAGUGGCAGCAACUCAUGGGUUUUGAACUUUAUUGCUGCCUGCAAGUUGCAAAACCUUGCAGAAUAAUGAGUUCUGUGAUUGCGGGAGGGUGCUUCAUCUCUCAUCAGUUCUAUAUACUCUAAUAUCAGCAAGUUUUUCAGCUGUUGAAUAAUUUACGAAGGUAAUUUUAUGUCUCACCAAUUUUGAGUAAAAUCUGAUGACAUAAAUUGUUAAGAAACCUCAAUUGGACAAAGCAGUGUGUAAAUAGUGUUUCUUUGAACUAUGUUGGUAAAAGAGAUUAAUCCAAACAGAGCUCUGUUGCCUAUUCUGUUGCAACAAUUUUAUGAU